rnacentral:rRNA from 1 species
UACGUAGGGGCAAGCGUUGGUCCGGAAUCAUUGGGCGUAAAGAGCGUGUAGGCGGCCCGGUAAGUCCGCCGUGAAAGUCCAGGGCUCAACCCUGGAAUGCCGGUGGAAACUGCCGGGCUGGAGUCCGGAAGAGGCGAGUGGAAUUCCUGGUGUAGCGGUGAAAUGCGCAGAUAUCAGGAAGAACACCUAUGGCGAAGGCAGCUCUCUGGGACGGUACUGACGCUGAGACGCGAAAGCGUGGGAGCGAACAGG